GGGGGCAUUUCUAAGGAUCUAUUACCUCAAACCGGUUGUGAGCCUUGUUGGUGCACGGACCGUAUCGUUGGUUGUUAUUCCUUGUUCAGGCGAGAGGCGAAGGUUCCGGGCGUGUGCCAUCGGGAAGAG